UGGGGAAUAUUGGGCAAUGGGGGAAACCCUGACCCAGCAACGCCGCGUGAAGGAAGAAGGCCUUCGGGUUGUAAACUUCUUUGAUCAGGGAAGAAACAAAUGACGGUACCUGAAAAACAAGCCACGGCUAACUACGUGCCAGCAGCCGCGGUAAUACGUAGGUGGCNAAGCGUUAUCCGGAUUUACUGGGGUGUAAAGGGCGUGUAGGCGGUCUCAUAAGUCAGAUGUGAAAUCCUGCAGCUCAACUGCAGAACUGCCCCUAAUACUGCCAAUCUUGAGUUCAGAAGAGAGAAGCGGAAUUCCAGGUGUAGUGGUGAAAUACGUAGAUAUCUGGAAGAACACCAGUUGCGUAGGCGGCUUCUUGGUCUGAUACUGACGCUGAGGUGCGAAAGCGUGGGGA
rnacentral:rRNA from 1 species